rnacentral:rRNA from 1 species
ACGAACGCUGGCGGCAUGCCUAACACAUGCAAGUCGAACGUGAAGCGGGCUUCGGCCCGUGGAAAGUGGCAGACGGGUGAGUAACGCGUGGGAACCUGCCCAAUGGUAGGGAAUAACCGCGGGAAACUGCGGCUAAUACCCUAUGUGUCCUUCGGGAGAAAGAUUUAUCGCCAUUGGAGGGGCCCGCGUCGGAUUAGGUAGUUGGUGGGGUAACGGCCUACCAAGCCUACGAUCCGUAGCUGGUCUGAGAGGAUGAUCAGCCACACUGGGACUGAGAUACGGCCCAGACUCCUACGGGAGGCAGCAGUGGGGAAUAUUGGACAAUGGGCGCAAGCCUGAUCCAGCAAUGCCGCGUGAGUGAAGAAGGCCCUCGGGUUGUAAAGCUCUUUCGGCGGGGAAGAUGAUGACGGUACCCGCAGAAGAAGCCCCGGCUAACUCCGU